rnacentral:rRNA from 1 species
UACGAAGGGGGCUAGCGUUGCUCGGCAUCACUGGGCGUAAAGCGCCCGUAGGCGGCUUCUUAAGUCAGGGGUGAAAUCCUGGAGCUCAACUCCAGAACUGCCUUUGAUACUGAGGAGCUCGAGUCCGGAAGAGGUGAGUGGAACUGCGAGUGUAGAGGUGAAAUUCGUAGAUAUUCGCAAGAACACCAGUGGCGAAGGCGGCUCACUGGUCCGGUACUGACGCUGAGGUGCGAAAGCGUGGGGAGCAAACAGG